rnacentral:ncRNA from 3 species
AAAUUCAACCAAGCGCGGGUAAAC